UACGGAGGGUGCAAGCGUUGUUCGGAAUUAUUGGGCGUAAAGCGCGUGUAGGCGGCUUUCUAAGUCUGGUGUGAAAUCCCGGGGCUUAACUCCGGAAGUGCACUGGAUACUGGAUAGCUAGAGGACGGAAAAGGAGAGUGGAAUUCCUGGUGUAGGGGUGAAAUCCGUAGAUAUCAGGAGGAACAUCAGAGGCGAAGGCGACUCUCUAGUCCGUUUCUGACGCUGAGACGCGAAAGCGUGGGGAGCAAACAGG
rnacentral:rRNA from 1 species